UGCUAGGGAAGACUGUGGCCUCAGCUCCAAAGCACAAUUGGGUCCUGAAGGACCUAAUGACUAGAAACUUCCAGCUGACUGCACUCUGCAACUGACUGAUUUGAACAUCUAUAGAAUAUUACAUCUCUUUGACCUGAAGGACUUGCUUUAGCAUUUCUUGUACUACAAGUCUGAUGGAGAUGGCACAUUGCAUAAAGAAACGCGAACCCAGCAGCACCCCUGCCAGCGGCAAUUCUGAGCGCUCAUUUCCGUGUUGCCAAGACAUUACAUGGGAAGGCAUGUGCGUUUAAGGGCAUCCAAUUGUUUCUGUACCAGAACAGCAGCAACAUCCUGGGCAGGCCUUUCCUCUGGAGUUCAUGUGCAGGUCGUACUGAUGCACAACACGACCUAAAGGGACCAUGGAGGAGGAAGGGACCCUAAAUCCAGGCCAAAUGGGAGCAGGGUUGUCCUCAGG